rnacentral:rRNA from 1 species
UUAAGCGACUAAGCGUACACGGUGGAUGCCCUGGCAGUCAGAGGCGAUGAAGGACGUGCUAAUCUGCGAUAAGCGUCGGUAAGGUGAUAUGAACCGUUAUAACCGGCGAUUUCCGAAUGGGGAAACCCAGUGUGAUUCGUCACACUAUCAUUAACUGAAUCCAUAGGUUAAUGAGGCGAACCGGGGGAACUGAAACAUCUAAGUACCCCGAGGAAAAGAAAUCAACCGAGAUUCCCCCAGUAGCGGCGAGCGAACGGGGAGCAGCCCAGAGCCUGAAUCAGUGUGUGUGUUAGUGGAAGCGUCUGGAAAGGCGCGCGAUACAGGGUGACAGCCCCGUACACAAAAAUGCACAUGCUGUGAGCUCGAUGAGUAGGGCGGGACACGUGGUAUCCUGUCUGAAUAUGGGGGGACCAUCCUCCAAGGCUAAAUACUCCUGACUGACCGAUAGUGAACCAGUACCGUGAGGGAAAGGCGAAAAGAACCCCGGCGAGGGGAGUGAAAAAGAACCUGAAACCGUGUACGUACAAGCAGUGGGAGCACAGAGCAAUCUGUGUGACUGCGUACCUUUUGUAUAAUGGGUCAGCGACUUAUAUUCUGUAGCAAGGUUAACCGAAUAGGGGAGCCGAAGGGAAACCGAGUCUUAACUGGGCGUUAAGUUGCAGGGUAUAGACCCGAAACCCGGUGAUCUAGCCAUGGGCAGGUUGAAGGUUGGGUAACACUAACUGGAGGACCGAACCGACUAAUGUUGAAAAAUUAGCGGAUGACUUGUGGCUGGGGGUGAAAGGCCAAUCAAACCGGGAGAUAGCUGGUUCUCCCCGAAAGCUAUUUAGGUAGCGCCUCGUGAAUUCAUCUCCGGGGGUAGAGCACUGUUUCGGCAAGGGGGUCAUCCCGACUUACCAACCCGAUGCAAACUGCGAAUACCGGAGAAUGUUAUCACGGGAGACACACGGCGGGUGCUAACGUCCGUCGUGAAGAGGGAAACAACCCAGACCGCCAGCUAAGGUCCCAAAGUCAUGGUUAAGUGGGAAACGAUGUGGGAAGGCCCAGACAGCCAGGAUGUUGGCUUAGAAGCAGCCAUCAUUUAAAGAAAGCGUAAUAGCUCACUGGUCGAGUCGGCCUGCGCGGAAGAUGUAACGGGGCUAAACCAUGCACCGAAGCUGCGGCAGCGACGCUUAUGCGUUGUUGGGUAGGGGAGCGUUCUGUAAGCCUGUGAAGGUGUGCUGUGAGGCAUGCUGGAGGUAUCAGAAGUGCGAAUGCUGACAUAAGUAACGAUAAAGCGGGUGAAAAGCCCGCUCGCCGGAAGACCAAGGGUUCCUGUCCAACGUUAAUCGGGGCAGGGUGAGUCGACCCCUAAGGCGAGGCCGAAAGGCGUAGUCGAUGGGAAACAGGUUAAUAUUCCUGUACUUGGUGUUACUGCGAAGGGGGGACGGAGAAGGCUAUGUUGGCCGGGCGACGGUUGUCCCGGUUUAAGCGUGUAGGCUGGUUUUCCAGGCAAAUCCGGAAAAUCAAGGCUGAGGCGUGAUGACGAGGCACUACGGUGCUGAAGCAACAAAUGCCCUGCUUCCAGGAAAAGCCUCUAAGCAUCAGGUAACAUCAAAUCGUACCCCAAACCGACACAGGUGGUCAGGUAGAGAAUACCAAGGCGCUUGAGAGAACUCGGGUGAAGGAACUAGGCAAAAUGGUGCCGUAACUUCGGGAGAAGGCACGCUGAUAUGUAGGUGAAGUCCCUCGCGGAUGGAGCUGAAAUCAGUCGAAGAUACCAGCUGGCUGCAACUGUUUAUUAAAAACACAGCACUGUGCAAACACGAAAGUGGACGUAUACGGUGUGACGCCUGCCCGGUGCCGGAAGGUUAAUUGAUGGGGUUAGCGCAAGCGAAGCUCUUGAUCGAAGCCCCGGUAAACGGCGGCCGUAACUAUAACGGUCCUAAGGUAGCGAAAUUCCUUGUCGGGUAAGUUCCGACCUGCACGAAUGGCGUAAUGAUGGCCAGGCUGUCUCCACCCGAGACUCAGUGAAAUUGAACUCGCUGUGAAGAUGCAGUGUACCCGCGGCAAGACGGAAAGACCCCGUGAACCUUUACUAUAGCUUGACACUGAACAUUGAGCCUUGAUGUGUAGGAUAGGUGGGAGGCUUUGAAGUGUGGACGCCAGUCUGCAUGGAGCCGACCUUGAAAUACCACCCUUUAAUGUUUGAUGUUCUAACGUUGACCCGUAAUCCGGGUUGCGGACAGUGUCUGGUGGGUAGUUUGACUGGGGCGGUCUCCUCCUAAAGAGUAACGGAGGAGCACGAAGGUUGGCUAAUCCUGGUCGGACAUCAGGAGGUUAGUGCAAUGGCAUAAGCCAGCUUGACUGCGAGCGUGACGGCGCGAGCAGGUGCGAAAGCAGGUCAUAGUGAUCCGGUGGUUCUGAAUGGAAGGGCCAUCGCUCAACGGAUAAAAGGUACUCCGGGGAUAACAGGCUGAUACCGCCCAAGAGUUCAUAUCGACGGCGGUGUUUGGCACCUCGAUGUCGGCUCAUCACAUCCUGGGGCUGAAGUAGGUCCCAAGGGUAUGGCUGUUCGCCAUUUAAAGUGGUACGCGAGCUGGGUUUAGAACGUCGUGAGACAGUUCGGUCCCUAUCUGCCGUGGGCGCUGGAGAAUUGAGGGGGGCUGCUCCUAGUACGAGAGGACCGGAGUGGACGCAUCACUGGUGUUCGGGUUGUCAUGCCAAUGGCACUGCCCGGUAGCUAAAUGCGGAAGAGAUAAGUGCUGAAAGCAUCUAAGCACGAAACUUGCCCCGAGAUGAGUUCUCCCUGACUCCUUGAGAGUCCUGAAGGAACGUUGAAGACGACGACGUUGAUAGGCCGGGUGUGUAAGCGCAGCGAUGCGUUGAGCUAACCGGUACUAAUGAACCGUGAGGCUUAACCUU